AGUGAACGCUGGCGGUAGGCCUAACACAUGCAAGUCGAACGGCAGCACAGGAGAGCUUGCUCUCUGGGUGGCGAGUGGCGGACGGGUGAGGAAUACAUCGGAAUCUACUCUGUCGUGGGGGAUAACGUAGGGAAACUUACGCUAAUACCGCAUACGACCUACGGGUGAAAGCAGGGGACCUUCGGGCCUUGCGCGAUUGAAUGAGCCGAUGUCGGAUUAGCUAGUUGGCGGGGUAAAGGCCCACCAAGGCGACGAUCCGCAGCUGGUCUGAGGGGAUGAUCGGCCACACUGGAACUGAGACACGGUCCAGACUCCUACGGGAGGCAGCAGUGGGGAAUAUUGGACAAUGGGCGCAAGCCUGAUUCAGCCAUACCGCGUGGGUGAAGAAGGCCUUCGGGUUGUAAAGCCCUUUUGUUGGGAAAGAAAUCCAGCUGGCUAAUACCCGGUUGGGAUGACGGUACCCAAAGAAUAAGCACCGGCUAACUUCGUGCCAGCCGCCGCAGUAA
rnacentral:rRNA from 1 species